GGGUCUCUGAAAGUAUUUUAGGCCUUAAACAGGAUGAGAACUGAAAGGAUCAGCUGGCCCUGGCCCAAGCCAGAAGAGUGACACAUUCUGGACAGAACAGCAAAGGCCCUCAAAGGACCCGAAGCUUGGGUGAUAAACAGCAGCUGCCAGGAAGAGAGAGGCUGGACCACCCACACAUGGGGAAUUUGAAGGGUCCUUAAUUUAAAUUUAAAUAAGAGGCAAGAGGUAUACACAGCCAAGUCGUCCUGGGCCAGGUGUAGUCUUUAUGAUGGUCACCACCUCCACUCCAGGUCCUCCUGCAAGAGUUAGUGUGUGAAAGCCCUUCCUGGAAGAUGGUUUCCCUCUCUGGCCGACAACAGGCUUCAACCUUUUCUUUCUCCAUCAUGGGAUUUUGGGGAAAUUUUCAGUUUCUUGGGGUCCGGUUUUUUUUUUUCUUUGGAGGGGUGAGGUGGGGUAAACAAUGUUUCUGUUUAGCCCUAGCUGUUCUGGAAUUCACUCUGUAGAUCUGGGUGGCCUCGAAUUCACCUACCGCUGCCUUCACUGAUAUGAAUGGUAAAGGUUUGUCUGGCU
rnacentral:lncRNA from 1 species